rnacentral:antisense_RNA from 1 species
UUGAAAUGUUAUUCACAUACCAUAAACUUCACCCAUUUAAAGUGUACAUUUCAGUGAUUUUUAGAUAUAUUCACAGGGUUUUGCAACCAUCACUGUUACUAAUUUGCAGAACACCUUUUCACUUAGAAAGCCUGUAUUCUUUUUUUUUUUUUUUUUUGAGAUGGAGUCUCACUCUGUCGCCCAGGCUGGCAUGUGGUGGCAUGAUCUUUGUUCACUGCAACCUCCACCUCGGGUUCAAGCAAUUUUCCUGCCUCAGCCUCCCAAGUAGCUGGGAUUACAGGCGCACACCGCCACGCCCAGCUUAGUUUUGUAUAUUUUUUGUAGAGACAGGGUUUUGCCAUGUUGCCCAGGCUGGUCUCAAACUGGGCUCAAGCGAUCCACCUGCCUUGGCCUCCCAAGGUGCUGGGAUUACAGGUCAGCUUCAUAGUAAGAUUUGGUAUUUGUGGACCUAGGUCUGUGUGAUAUUUCUCUUUCUUCUUUUCCUGAAAGUCUUUAUAAUUCAAAUUUCGAAUUAGAUUCUUCAAGUGUUUUUUUUGUUUUUUGUUUUUUUUUAAUCUGUAGAAUUCUAGCAAAUUGGUUAAAAGUCAAGUUCAUGGGAGAUGAAGGCUCAGUGGAUGACACAUCCAGCGAUGCUGGUGGGAUUCAGACGCUUUCGCUUUUCAACUCGCUUAGCAGCAAAGGGGAUCAGAUGAUUU